rnacentral:rRNA from 1 species
AUGCCAAAUGACAAGGCCCCGGGUCCGGAUGGAUUCACGGGCCUAUUCUUCAAAAAGUGUUGGGGCACUGUCAAGCACGACCUCAUGAGGGCCAUUGCUCGUUUCGAAUCCCUCCACACUUUGAACCUCCACUGGCUCAACUCUGCGAAUGUGGUGCUCUUGCCAAAAAAGGAUGGGGCGGAGGGGAUUGCGGACUAUAGGCCUAUUAGUCUUAUCCAUGCGAUCGCCAAGAUUAUUGCAAAGGUGCUCUCCACUCGGCUCACUCCGCACAUGACGGCCCUCAUCUCCAAUGCCCAAAGCGCCUUCAUCAAAACGAGAAGUAUUCAUGAUAACUUCAUGUAUGUUCGCAAUCUUGCACGACGCCUGCACAAGAGCAAGACCCCAUCCCUCCUUUUCAAAUUAUAUAUUCGCAAGGCAUUCGACUCGGUCAAAUGGGAAUAUAUACUGGACCUUCUCCAACGGCGAGGUUUCCCAAGCAAGUUUAGGGAUUGGAUCACGGCGCUUCUUAGUUCUUCAUCAUCGAGGAUUAUCCUCAAUGGCAUUGCCGGCAACCCAAUCAAGCAUGGUCGUGGUUUCCGGCAAGGGGACCCCAUCUCCCCGCUCCUGUUCGUCAUCGCCAUUGACCCGCUCCAAAGAAUCCUUGAUGUGGCUACGCGAAAGGGGCUCCUCCACAAAAUUCGGGGUAGGGGUGCCAUGAUGCGAACCUCCCUUUAUGCGGAUGAUGCAGCCAUCUUCCUGGCUCCGAUCAAAAAGGAUGUUGACAAUCUUGCUAAUAUUUUGAGAGGAUUUGGCGAGGUCACGGGACUUUGCACCAACUUUCAUAAGAGUUCGAUGGUGCCCAUUCGUUGCAAUAAUCUUGACUUUGAUCAUAUCACUCAAAAUCUGCCGGCAACUAGGGCUUCUUUCCCCUUGAGGUACUUGGGGCUCCCCCUCUCUGUUUGGAAGCUAAGAUUAGUGGAUCUUCAAUUUCUUGUGGACAAGGUUGCAUCCAAGUUGACAACGUAUGAGGGCCAAAACAUCACCACCAUUGGGCGCAUGGCCCUUGUCAAGUCUGUUCUCACUUCCCAAGUGAUCUACUUCAUCACACCGUUGAUCAUCCCACCAAGUAUCCUCUUCAAAGUCAACCAGCUCGAGAGAGCUUUCCUAUGGUCUGGCUCGGACAACACGACGGGGGCGAAAUGCAAGGUGAAUUGGGAAAUUGUCUGUAGGCCAGUUGAGUAUGGGGGGCUUGGGGUACUCAACAUGGAAAAGUUCGCGCGUGCUCUGCGGCUGCGGUGGCCUUGGUAUGAAUGGAAGGAGCCCACCAAGUUGUGGGUGGGGAUGGGCAACCCGUGCAAUGAGGAGGACCUUAACUUUUUCUAUGCGUCUACCACUAUCACCGUGGGCAAUGGUGCGAAGACACCUUUUUGGGAAUCACCUUGGCUUCUUGGGCGCAAGCCGAAGAACAUUGCGCCACUAAUAUUCGAAGUCUCCUCGCGAAAGAAGUGGAAAGUGCGCGAGGCCAUCAAGCACAACGCGUGGAUGCUCAAGAUCAAGCCUCCAACCAUUAUUUCCGUUGAGUUCAUCACACAAUUUUUCACCCUUUGGAUGCUAUUGGAUGAGGUGCAUCUUGAUGUGCUCGCCGAGGACGACAUUUUAUGGAAACACACGACUAGUGGGCACUACUCGGCGGCCUCGGCAUAUAAGGCGCAAUUCAUAGGGAUGGUGUUUUCACCCAUGGACCAAAUGGUUUGGAAGGUCUGGGGUCCCCCCAAAGUAAAGUUCUUUGCUUGGUUGGCACUUCAAGAUAGAAUUUGGACCGCAGACAGAUUAGCCAAGAGAGGAUGGCCAAAUUGUGGUUUGUGUCCACUUUGCAAGAGGGUGCAAGAAAGCGGGUCACACCUAUUCUUCAAGUGCCGCUAUACUCUAAGGUUGUGGGCGUUGGUCAUUGAAAAAUUUCACAUCUUCGGGUUGGUCACCUCUUCAUGGCGCUUGUUGGACUCCGUCAACGCUUGGUGGACAAGCACUUGUGACGCCGGCACGCCAAACCGUCAAGCCAAAGCCUCGCUCACCAUGCUUGUGACAUGGACAAUUUGGAAUGAGCGAAAUGCAAGAGUGUUUAGGUUUAAAAGCGCUCCACCGACUAUCUUGCUUAACACCAUCUCGACCGAGGCCAACCUUUGGGUCACCGCCGGUGCAAAAAAAUUAGGGUCUUUCAUAUCGCGAGAGUAA